CAGCAGCCGGAGUGGUGGUCGUGUUUAUUGGGCCUAAAGCGUCCGUAGCCGGUCUAGUAAAUCCUUUGAUAAAUCGUACAGCUUAACUGUACGGCUCCCGGGGAGACUGCUAGACUUGGGACUGGGAGAGGUCGGAGGUACUCCAGGGGUAGGGGUGAAAUCUUGUAAUCCUUGGGGGACCACCAGUGGCGAAGGCGUCCGACUAGAACGGGUCCGACGGUAAGGGACGAAGCCCUGGGGCGCGAACCGGAUUAGAUACCCGAGUAGUCC
rnacentral:rRNA from 1 species